GACGAACGCUGGCGGCGUGCCUAAUACAUGCAAGUCGAGCGAGCGGAACUAACAGAUUUACUUCGGUAAUGACGUUAGGAAAGCGAGCGGCGGAUGGGUGAGUAACACGUGGGGAACCUGCCCCAUAGUCUGGGAUACCACUUGGAAACAGGUGCUAAUACCGGAUAAGAAAGCAGAUCGCAUGAUCAGCUUUUAAAAGGCGGCGUAAGCUGUCGCUAUGGGAUGGCCCCGCGGUGCAUUAGCUAGUUGGUAAGGUAAAGGCUUACCAAGGCGAUGAUGCAUAGCCAAGUUGAGAGACUGAUCGGCCACAUUGGGACUGAGACACGGCCCAAACUCCUACGGGAGGCAGCAGUAGGGAAUCUUCCACAAUGGACGCAAGUCUGAUGGAGCAACGCCGCGUGAGUGAAGAAGGUUUUCGGAUCGUAAAGCUCUGUUGUUGGUGAAGAAGGAUAGAGGUAGUAACUGGCCUUUAUUUGACGGUAAUCAACCAGAAAGUCACGGCUAACUACGUGCCAGCAGCCGCGGUAAUACGUAGGUGGCAAGCGUUGUCCGGAUUUAUUGGGCGUAAAGCGAGCGCAGGCGGAAGAAUAAGUCUGAUGUGAAAGCCCUCGGCUUAACCGAGGAACUGCAUCGGAAACUGUUUUUCUUGAGUGCAGAAGAGGAGAGUGGAACUCCAUGUGUAGCGGUGGAAUGCGUAGAUAUAUGGAAGAACACCAGUGGCGAAGGCGGCUCUCUGGUCUGCAACUGACGCUGAGGCUCGAAAGCAUGGGUAGCGAACAGGAUUAGAUACCCUGGUAGUCCAUGCCGUAAACGAUGAGUGCUAAGUGUUGGGAGGUUUCCGCCUCUCAGUGCUGCAGCUAACGCAUUAAGCACUCCGCCUGGGGAGUACGACCGCAAGGUUGAAACUCAAAGGAAUUGACGGGGGCCCGCACAAGCGGUGGAGCAUGUGGUUUAAUUCGAAGCAACGCGAAGAACCUUACCAGGUCUUGACAUCUAGUGCCAUUUGUAGGGAUACAAAGUUCCCUUCGGGGACGCUAAGACAGGUGGUGCAUGGCUGUCGUCAGCUCGUGUCGUGAGAUGUUGGGUUAAGUCCCGCAACGAGCGCAACCCUUGUUAUUAGUUGCCAGCAUUAAGUUGGGCACUCUAAUGAGACUGCCGGUGACAAACCGGAGGAAGGUGGGGAUGACGUCAAGUCAUCAUGCCCCUUAUGACCUGGGCUACACACGUGCUACAAUGGGCAGUACAACAAGAAGCGAGCCUGCGAAGGCAAGCGAAUCUCUGAAAGCUGUUCUCAGUUCGGGCUGCAGUCUGCAACUCGACUGCACGAAGCUGGAAUCGCUAGUAAUCGCGGAUCAGCACGCCGCGGUGAAUACGUUCCCGGGCCU
rnacentral:rRNA from 1 species